UACGGAGGGGGCUAGCGUUGUUCGGAAUUACUGGGCGUAAAGCGCCCGUAGGCGGCUUUGUAAGUUAGAGGUGAAAGCCCAGGGCUUAACCCUGGAAUUGCCCUUAAGACUGCAUCGCUAGAAUCGUGGAGAGGUGAGUGGAAUUCCGAGUGUAGAGGUGAAAUUCGUAGAUAUUAGGAAGAACACCAGUGGCGAAGGCGGCUCACUGGCCCGGUACUGACGCUGAGGCACGAAAGCGUGGGGAGCAAACAGG
rnacentral:rRNA from 1 species